UACGUAGGGUGCGAGCGUUGUCCGGAAUUAUUGGGCGUAAAGGGCUCGUAGGCGGUUUGUCACGUCAGGAGUGAAAACUCGGGGCUCAACCCCGAGCCUGCUUCUGAUACGGGCAGACUAGAGGUAUGCAGGGGAGAACGGAAUUCCUGGUGUAGCGGUGAAAUGCGCAGAUAUCAGGAGGAACACCGGUGGCGAAGGCGGUUCUCUGGGCAUUACCUGACGCUGAGGAGCGAAAGUGUGGGGAGCAAACGGG
rnacentral:rRNA from 1 species